ensembl:lncRNA
AUCUAGUUCCAAACCCUGCUAUAGGCAGGGGCACCUCCCUCUAGACCAGGUUGCUCAAAGGCCCGUCCAGCUUGGCUUUGAAUGCCUCCAGGGAGGGGGCAUCCACAACCUCACUGGGCAACCUGUACCACUGUCUCACCACCCUCACAGAGCCACCUAUCUUUGCUGACUGAUAUAUUUAAAUUGCAGUAACCCAGGAGUUCAGAAUUUGACAGACUCAUAUCUGAGAAUCUGCCAGUGACCGUUGCCUUCAAUAGCUCUGUGGAAGUUGUGAUUCAGAAUUCAAGAGAUGGGAUGGAUUCGGAGCUAGUGAAGAAGGCACCAGGAGCUGCAGCAAGACCAUGAGAGUGAGUUUCUGCAGAAGGUCAUUCAAUUGUAAGUGACGUAAAUGAGCCCAGCGUUUCUCUGAGUUGGAGCAUUUUGUCCAUGUGUAUGAUACGACAGUGAAACAACACCAGAGAAAUGCAAUUCCACAGAGAGAUCGGUAGACCUUAUUCUAAUGCUUGUUAUCCAUGGGCCCGAUGGUACUCCGACUUGCACAAGCCUCACAUGUCCUCCAAGAUCCUAGCCAUGGAGCUACUGAUGCCUGCUUCCUUUUGCGAAUACAAAGAUGAGUAACAGUCUGAAGUGGUCCAAAGACUCUACCGCCUCACUGGAGCUGAAAGACUCAUCUGUUUGUGAUGCCCAGGCUUCCCUGCGGAGUCCUCACCAUAGUGUUAAAUCACCACUCCUUUGAUAUCGUGGUUGUUUGCAUAACAGAAAUACUGGCACUUGAAGCAGUACUCCCUCAAACCAGGCAAUUGUUUAGGGACAACAAGAACGAGAAGUGGAGUAAGGGAUCUCUAUAGGAGACUCCUCUACUGAUCUUCAUGAAGCUAAGCAGCUACAGUGGUGACAACAUGCAGUCCUGACAGCUUCCAUCCAGCAUGUGCUUUGGGUAGAUCAGAAACAUUCUGAAUUGUGCUUCCACUAACGAUCAUUGACAGAUAGAAAUUAAUUAAUAGCGGAGCUCGGGCUUUCCAGUUAUGCAGUUGGUGCCAAUUCCUCACAAUCAACAACCAGGAAAUGGACAUCAUUAAUAGAUUAAUCGCAUGUGCUGGAAAACAGAAAGCCAGCUGACUAUGCCCCUGUGAGAAGCAUAGGCAGUGUUUGGCUCGCAGUGGUUUCACUGAGGAAGAGGCAGGAAGUGUAGCUUGGGAGAGAUGCCCAGUAUUAUGGAUUAAUUAACAGUCUGUGCUCAGUAGACCCAGAUUACUCAACUUUUCCUCAUAUGGGAGAUGCUCCAGGCCCUUUAUCAUCUUUGUGGACUUCCGCUGGAUUCCUUCUAAGAGAUCCCUGUCUUUUUUUGAACCGGGGAGCCCAAAACUGGACACAGUAUUCCUAAUGUGGCCUCACCAAGGCAAAGUAGAGGGGGAGGAUCAUCUCCCUUGACCUGCUGACCACACUCUUUAAUGCACCCCAGAAUUCUAGUAUUCUGUAUUGAAUUUAUCACUUGUCUUUUUUCUUCUAAAAUUCAAGAUUGAGUUUUAUCUCUGAUGAAUGAACAUAAUGAAGCUAGACAUAAGCAGUGAAAAACGAUGGUUUAGUGAAAACUGGCUAGUGAAAUCUCUCUUCAUUUUCUGUCAUUUACGUUCCUUUGUACUCAAUGAACGCAGUCGUGCCCCAUCCCUUUGGGUUAAUUGUUGUUACUCAUCAGCUGAGUUCCCAUUUCUUCUGGGAAAAAAAAAAAUGCAUAGGGCACAUGAAUGACAAAUAUUUGUAAAGUGCAUCACCGUAGUUAUAAAAUGGUGUUUCAUAACUCUAAGACUUGCUCUUGUAAACUAGCUUUGCUGUUUUCAUUUUCAGCUCAUACUUCUCUUAAUUAAUUUCCAGCAUAAUGCUAUCAUGCAUAACUUGAAUGGAAAGAAAGCAGUUUUUUUGUGUGUGCUUUAAGUCUAAGUGUGCUAUAUAAUAAACCU